rnacentral:pre_miRNA from 1 species
UUUGUUGAGGUCUUGGGCUAGUAAAAAUAAGAUGAUUACAGGGAGGAGUACAACAAGCUGUU